rnacentral:misc_RNA from 1 species
GGAAGUAAAAGUCAUAACAAGGUUUCCGUAGGUGAACCUGCGGAAGGAUCAUUAUCGAGUUUUGACUUGGUUGUAGCUGGCCUUCCGAGGCAUGUGCACGCCCUGCUCAUCCACUCUACACCUGUGCACUUACUGUGGGUACCAGAUCGUGAAGCGUGCUCUUUUACCGGAGCUUGUGAAGCGUGUCUGUGCCUGCGUUUAUCACAAACACUAUAAAGUAUCAGAAUGUGUAUUACGAUGUAACGCAUCUAUAUACAACUUUCAGCAACGGAUCUCUUGGCUCUC